GAGGGGAGGAGAGGAGAGUGGGUAGCAGAGGGGAGGGGAGAGGAGAGGACAGUGGGUGGCAGAGGUCCAGACUCUCAAAGGCUGUGGAUGCCAGGGAAAGAUCCAGCUCCUCCUGGGCAGAGUGGGGCAGGUGCACAGGUUUUAACAGCCCAGGCGGGCAGGUGAGUUUCCUGUUCUGGCCUCUUCCUUUUCAAUGUUGAGAUCCCCUCCUUCCAGGAACAAUGAGGACUCUUUGAACCAUAACAGAGCCUGUGACAAAAGAGCUGAUGUAAUCAACUUAAGGAAAUCGUAGUGGACAGAACUGACUAAGCUCUCACCCCAUGAUUUUAUCAGUGAUCAACUUAGUCAUUGAUGAAACUGACCAAUUGUUAUACAGUGAAUUCACUGGAAUCAUGUGACUGAACUUCUCUAGGAUUAGGCUUGAUGGAGAAUCCAGAGACUGAUUGGAAAAGAAAGUAAGGAAGUGCUACCCAGACUUUGGGAGAGGGGACCACAUGGAGGCACGAAGGCCUUGUGGUGCGUGGUGCACUCGGAGCAGAGCACACGUGUGAGGGACGACGCUUAUUCCUGAGGAUGAGAGCUGACACGGAGCAAAGACUCAACGGGAAAUGGAUCUGACCCCAGAGAUACAGCAUCACCAGCUACACAGUCCUCAUGAAGCAUAGCUGGCCACCAGAGCAGCAGCGGGAGCUGGAGGGUCUACAGGCCUGAAGACUAAACUGAUCAUAGGAACACAGAAUUCCACAGACCAAGCCAGAUGGGAUCCUUGAUAGAUCCACGGCGAGCAACGUGAAGACGCGGGGAUAUUUGCAGCUCUCCCAGCCCCAGGGGCACUCCAUGGUGUGGAUGCGUGAUGCGUGUUCUGAGUAAACUGCACUCAUGGCCAAACCAUGUCUCCGUGCUGGAAUGUUAUUUGCACAGUGCACAACUGGAACAUCCGCGGGCAUGCAUGGAAGGCUGCUCUCCCUCUCAUCACAUACAGGUUGCUGAACUUCCCUGGCUUCUUGCCAGACCCAGGCCACUCUCCCUGGAUGGCUGAUGGGUACGUUCUCAUCGCAGUUUUCCUUGUUUUUCUCCCACCCUGCUCCUACCCAGGGCUUCUUCCUUCCACAGAAUCAGGUGGAGAGGACCCAGCCAGGAACAGCUGUGGCUUGGGACGUUUGCUGUGGUUUCUGUACAUUCUCCCAGCGCUGAGCAGCUGGUCGCACAGGCAAAGAUCUCCCACUGUCUGGGCCAGUGUGCCGAUGCCACUCGCUAGCAGCUGUGGAGG